UCAAAAGGGAACAUUGACUUUGAUUUAAACUUGAUCAACGUUUGUUUGUUGAGGGGAUUGAAAAUGUGUUUUGCCUUGGAAAUUACCGGGUCCGACUAAUCGAUGGACAGCAGAACAGCUGCAUCAGGGAGUUGAUGGUGUGGACCUUUUAACUUUCGACGAGAAGAUUAGUGGCAAGUGCUUCAGCAACGUUAAUUUAUGUGGAAAAGUGCAUAUUUCAAUGUGUUUUUAGAAACCAUAUAAAGUUGUGCAGGCUACGAAAGCAAACAUAUAUUGAAAUUCCAAUAUAAGGAAGCACACCCUUUCCAAAAAAACGCGGAAGGGAAAAUCGUCAAAUGAUUCACUGAGAUGUACAGGACAAUGGGUUGUCGAUUCGAUACAAUAGAGAAACUGAUAGACUUUAAUAACAUUGAAAGUGCAUCACUUUUGAACACGAUGAUCUGGGCGACAUGCUGAUUGAGUGGGAGCUUUGAAUGGCAGCAUAUUUAUAAAACUAGCGUCUAAAAAGGAAAAUACGCUACUAACAAAGAGAAACAACCUGAAAAAUGGGUAUUUAUUUCACUUAUUUGAGAUUAUUCAUAAUUUCUAUUAUUUUGAAAAGAAAAUAUUACGUAAUUAUUGCCUCAUUUUCCAAACAAAAUCGCAUUUGUUUACUGAUAAGAAAAAUGUCAUUCAUUUGAUACCAUUCCAAAUUAUCUCAAUAACCUUUUGACCGUCCAAAAAUGGUCCACUGCCAUACUUACUUUGAACUUGAUUUUAGUCACGAUGUCAAUAUUUGCAAAUGUAUGAACGAACGUAGAAAGGUUUUUACACAAAAUUUAUUUUCAAAUUUCUUGAGGUUAAUCGGGUCAAUUGAUACGAGAGAUUCAAGAAAUGACCUUCAUGGUUAUUGAGUUGUUUAUAAACAUUUUUUUCUCAGAUGGGAUGAGUUAAGAAUUUAUUCUAUCAAAUUUCAUUGGAAUUCAUUGAAGCUGAUUCUAGAAAUAAUUGAAAUGUUUGAAUCAACAUGAAUCUCAUUCAUGUUUUAAAUUGUUCAGAUCAAUAGACAAAUUGCAUAAUUUCAACCAAACAACAAAACUUAUUCACUCGACUUGUUAGGUAACAAUGCUAAUACUGAUAUGCAUGUAUGUAGAUUCGAAAUUAGAUUGGAAUUAGUUGCAUUAGAACGUCAG